AAAUGCGCUAAGUAGUGUGAAUUGCAGAAUUCAGUGAAUCAUCGAAUCUUUGAACGCACAUUGCGCCCUUUGGUAUUCCUUAGGGCAUGCCUGUUCGAGCGUCAUCUAAACCUUCAAGCCCUGCUUGGUGUUGGGUGCCUGUCCCGCCUCCGCGCGCGGACUCACCUCAAAUCCAUUGGCGGCCCCCGCGUCGGCCACGAGCGCAGCAGAAACGCGAACUCGUGAGCCCGUCCGGGCGGCUCCCAGAAGCUACACCCACCCAGUUUGACCUCGGAUCAGGUAGGGAUACCCGCUGAACUUAAGC
rnacentral:misc_RNA from 1 species